UACGUAGGGGGCAAGCGUUGUCCGGAUUUAUUGGGCGUAAAGAGCGUGUAGGCGGCCAGGUAGGUCCGCUGUGAAAACUCGAGGCUCAACCUCGAGAUGUCGGCGGAAACCAUCUGGCUAGAGUCCGGAAGAGGAAAGUGGAAUUCCCGGUGUAGCGGUGAAAUGCGCAGAUAUCGGGAAGAACACCCGUGGCGAAGGCGGCAUUCUGGACCGACAUUGACGCUGAGGAGCGAAAGCCAGGGGAGCAAACGGG
rnacentral:rRNA from 1 species